rnacentral:rRNA from 1 species
GAUGAACGCUAGCUACGGGCUUAACACAUGCAAGUCGAGGGGUAGCAGGGUAGCAAUACCGCUGACGACCGGCGCACGGGUGAGUAACACGUAUCCAACCUUCCCAUAACUCUGGGAUAGCCUUUCGAAAGAAAGAUUAAUACCGGAUGGUACUUUUUCAAGGCAUCUUGAGAAAGUUAAAGAUUUAUUGGUUAUGGAUGGGGAUGCGUUCCAUUAGAUAGUUGGUGAGGUAACGGCUCACCAAGUCUUCGAUGGAUAGGGGUUCUGAGAGGAAGGUCACCCACAUUGGUACUGAGACACGGACCAAACUCCUACGGGAGGCAGCAGUGAGGAAUAUUGGUCAAUGGGCGAGAGCCUGAACCAGCCAAGUAGCGUGAAGGAUGAAGGUCCUAUGGAUUGUAAACUUCUUUUAUAGUAGAAUAAAGUGAUCCACGUGUGGAUUUUUGUAUGUAUACUAUGAAUAAGGAUCGGCUAACUCCGUGCCAGCAGCAGCCGCAG